CUUACUUGAACAGGAUCUGUUCUAUAGGUUGUACAACUGUGUCCUUGAGUGUAAAGGAGACAGGCAACAAAGUCUGGUGGAUGAAACAUGUCCUCAGAGCCAGAGCGUGAUUGACGGCUGAGAUUCGUUGCGAAUCUCCUGCUGUAGAGGAUCGUCCCUGACCGGCGAAAGCCAGUCGGGUUGGCUCUGAGAAUGUGGGGGGCGGCGCGGCAGGUGGGGUCGCAGACACCGACGACGUACGAGUCAGUGGCGGGUGGGGAGAACUGGACACGGAUGGACGUGCGGUCGGCGGAGGACGAGGGGCCGAUCCAGAUCGACAAGGACCAAGAAAAGGUCGACGACCCCGUCGCCGGAGACUGGCGAGUGAUAGCUAGUGGUUGGUACAAAUUUACUAUAUUUCUGAUGAAUUAAUGCAUGCAUGCAUGCAUAUGUAUGUUGUUGUGCGCGUAGUUUUAGUUUGUAUGUGAAUUUGUAUGAGUUUGUGUUUAUGUUGUUGUGCGCGUGGUUUUAGUAGUAUGCUUGUUUUGGUGUUUAUGAAUGAGAAUGUAUGCGUUUUGUUUUGUUU